rnacentral:rRNA from 1 species
UUUGAUCCUGGCUCAGAUUGAACGCUGGCGGCAGGCCUAACACAUGCAAGUCGAGCGGUAGAGAGGUGCUUGCACCUCUUGAGAGCGGCGGACGGGUGAGUAAUGCCUAGGAAUCUGCCUGGUAGUGGGGGAUAACGCUCGGAAACGGACGCUAAUACCGCAUACGUCCUACGGGAGAAAGCAGGGGACCUUCGGGCCUUGCGCUAUCAGAUGAGCCUAGGUCGGAUUAGCUAGUUGGUGGGGUAAUGGCUCACCAAGGCGACGAUCCGUAACUGGUCUGAGAGGAUGAUCAGUCACACUGGAACUGAGACACGGUCCAGACUCCUACGGGAGGCAGCAGUGGGGAAUAUUGGACAAUGGGCGAAAGCCUGAUCCAGCCAUGCCGCGUGUGUGAAGAAGGUCUUCGGAUUGUAAAGCACUUUAAGUUGGGAGGAAGGGCAUUAACCUAAUACGUUAGUGU